rnacentral:rRNA from 1 species
UACGGAGGAUGCGAGCGUUAUCCGGAUUUAUUGGGUUUAAAGGGUGCGUAGGCGGUUUGUUAAGUCAGCGGUGAAAUCUAGAGGCUCAACCUCGAAACUGCCGUUGAAACUGGCGAACUUGAGUGUAGAUGAGGUAGGCGGAAUUCGUGGUGUAGCGGUGAAAUGCAUAGAUAUCACGAGGAACUCCAAUUGCGAAGGCAGCUUACUAAGGUACAACUGACGCUGAAGCACGAAAGCGUGGGUAUCAAAC